rnacentral:rRNA from 1 species
UACGUAGGCUGCAAGCGUUGUUCGGAGUUACUGGGCGUAAAGGGUGUGUAGGCGGUUAUUUAAGUUUGGUGUGAAAUCUCCCGGCUCAACCGGGAGGGUGCGUCGAAUACUGAAUGACUUGGAGUGCGGGAGAGGAAAGUGGAAUUCCCGGUGUAGCGGUGAAAUGCGUAGAGAUCGGGAGGAAGGCCGGUGGCGAAGGCGGCGCUCUGGAACGUACCUGACGCUGAGACACGAAAGCGUGGGGAGCAAACAGG